GAGGGCAGAGCUCAGUGGUGGAGCACGUGCUUAGCAUGCAUGAGGUCCUGGGUGCAAUCCCCAGUAUCAACA
rnacentral:tRNA from 1 species